CUUUGGUUCUUUUCUACUAGGAAUAGCUGCAGCAUUUCUGCCAGAGACCUGGCUUGGACUUCAGUGGGACAUCUCCUGUCCUGAGCCACGGGAUCAGGCUCUUACAAGUCUGAGGUUGAGCAGCAGUAGGGGAAAGCAGCAGUUGCCAGUCACUGGAAGGGCUGGUUAGUUUGCCCAUACACAUAAAGGAAAUAUCAAUGUAAAAUGCUAUCCAGAAGUGCCCCCCAUUCAAGCCGCCCGAGUCAAAGAAACUAACAAAUAGAACAUUAUUAUAGAAAAAUGAGGGCUCUGAGAAAUCAGCAACUGGAAGAUAACUCUGUAACUAAUAAAAGAAAAGAGCCUUUUGAUGGCUCCAGCUGAAAA